AAAAUCUUAAAAUCUUGAAAAAAUAAGAUGAAAUCUGGAAAGGGUCAUCAUGUGGAAGAAGAAGAGGAUGAGUAUGAUUUUGGUUCUAAUAGAGAUGCCACACCUUCAAGUAAUAGUACUAAAGAUGGGAAGAACAGUGACAAGGCAAAUGCAAUUAGGUCGAAGCAUUCAGUAACUGAGCAGCGCCGGAGGAGCAAGAUCAAUGAG
rnacentral:misc_RNA from 1 species